UGAUAAGAAACCCUAGAAACUGGUUCUGGAAACCCUAGUUUCAGUACCGGGAGUCCGAAACCCUAAUUCGGUAUUUGGAAACCCUAGAUCAGGAAUGCAAAUGCUAUGAAUAAGUUUAAAACGUCGUUAAUUAUAAAUUUAUUAGGAAAAACCUAAUGAAUUACUUGAAACCCUAAUUGCUUAUUAGAAAACCCUAUUACCGGC
rnacentral:lncRNA from 1 species